GAGUGCUUUUACUGUGCCACACAUGGACUCAUUAAUUAAUGACAUAUUUUAAAGUGUCCUUUAGUCCUCUGCCAUGACAGUUAUCCUGUUGAGUUAUGGUUCUCAGGUACCAGGGGAAGGCAACUGGAGGCUGCUGCCAGGAAUUGAGUCUACAGAGUCCUGAAAAUUAGUGAAGCUUCCCUUGCAUAGGCACAUCAUCUGGAAAAUGCUCUACAGCUACAACAGGAUUGCUAGGAGAUUGGCUUUGUGUCAUCACGGCUUUGUCUGUGUGCACAAUCAGUCAUUGGAAAGUUGGUUCAGCUCAUGUGUUCAGUCAGAUAAGUAUGCCUUUGCUGCCACUGAUGCUUCUACAGGAUAGUGAAAUCAUAAACCUAUCAUUUGAGAUGAGGACUUGAGAAAUACAGUUUUAUUGCCUUUCAGGUACUUCAGCUCCAAGUGAUCCCAUUAAUUUCUUUGGACUAAAACACACAGCACGUCUUAAAGCAGUUUUAUUUGAUUGGGUAGUCUCUUGAGCAGGGGGCCCUGGAAUAGAUAUAGGUCAGAUACUUCAGUUAAAUUAGCAAAGCUCCAUUGCGCUAUUGCACUAGUCAGACACAUUGAAGCUACUGAUGAUUUAUGAACUCUAAUGAACCAAGCCUUUAAUAAAGUUCUGCUGUGGUACUUCA
rnacentral:lncRNA from 1 species